UACAGAGGUGGCAAGCGUUGUUCGGAAUUACUGGGCGUAAAGGGCGCGUAGGCGGCCCGUCAAGUCCCGUGUGAAGCCCCGGCUCAACCGGGAACUGCACGGGAAACUAGCAGGCUUGAGUUCGGGAGAGGAAGCGGAAUUUCGGGUGUAGCGGUGAAAUGCGCAGAUAUCCGAAGGAACACCGGUGGCGAAGGCGGCUUCCUGGACCGACACUGACGCUGAGGCGCGAAGCUAGGGAGCAAACAGG
rnacentral:rRNA from 1 species